rnacentral:other from 12 species
CAGGGUUCUUUAAUCUGUUUCUCUAUAAGAACACUCAAUUUUCACGCUUUCUGUCUUCUUUCUUCCAGGGCUCUCCCCUUGCCCUAGGCUCUGGCCGUUGCGCCCGGCGGGGUCAACUCCAUGAUUAGCAUGGAGCUGUAGGAGUCUAAAUUGGGGACGCAGAUGUUUGGGACGUCACCUUGCAGUGUUAACUUGGCUCUCAUGAACCUCUUUGAUCUUCCACAAGGGGUAGGCUACGGGUGAAACCUCUUAGGCUAAUACUUCUAUGAAGAGAUGCCUUGGAUAGGGUAACAGCGGCGGAUAUUGGUGAGUUGUUAAGACAAAAACCAUUCAACGCCGAAGGACUGGCUCUCAUCCAGUGGAUGCAUUGAGUGAAUUGAUUGUCAGGGCUGUCUCUAGGUUUAAUCCCAGACCUCUCUGUGCUUAGGGCAAACACUCAUUUGGCCUUAAAUGGGAUCCUGUGAGAGGGGGUCCCUCCAUUGGCAGCUGGACUGUUCUUUGGGGCCUUAUGUGGUGUUUGCCUCUGAGGUACUCAGGGGCAUUUAGGUUUUUCCUCAUUCUUAAACAAUAAUG